AGCUGCUCGCCCCAGCGAGAGAGUGAAAAAAUAAAAAUGAUACUGAACUCAGCUGCUGCGACUGCCAUGGCCGUCCGUUGCAGGCCUCCAUUAAGGCCCAUGUGCUUAGGCUCCAACAUCAACACGGAGCAGCUUCGUGCCCAGCUCGAUCAGCUUCACUCCGAGGCAGAGAGCACCAGAGCCAAGGCAAAUAGUGCAAGGCUAAGGCUUCUGCGAUUGUCAGAUGCAGCUGAGAAGCUUCAACGGCAAGCAGCUAUUAGUGUCCAAAAUGGGAAAGAAAAUGAUGCAAGGCAACUGCUUUUACAGAAAAAGAAGAUCAUACUAGCUUUGGAGAAGUCAAAGCGCCGCAUUGAAUUGCUUGAUGAGCUUUCAACAAAGUUUAAUGAGGCCAUAUCGCUGAAAGAAAAUCAGCUAGUUGGGAAUGUUUCUUUGGAUCUUGAAGUCGGUAGAGAAGAUGCACCCAGUCCUGUUCGGAUUAUAUCACCAAAGCAGGAAAAGACAGAAGAUCUGAAUGAGAACAAAGAAUUUGAGCCUAAUAUGCUGGAACUUGACGGCAGAGAAGAUUUGCAACCCUAUUCAGAGAGUCGAGAAAGCUUACCUGUUGAUAAGGUGCCAGAGGAUCUUGAAGCUUCUCUGAGUGUGGGCAUUCAGAAUGAAGAUGACAUUAUCAGUAGCUUGAAUGGAAUAUCUUCUUAUGAGGACUUCUUGGAACGUUUGGAUCAAGAUCUCAGCAAUAUUGAAGCAGAACUUCUGACCAUUUUGAGGGUCUCAACCUUGAUACUAGAUAGCAAUGAGACAGAAAAAAAUUCAAGGGUGCAGGAAACACUGGAACUUCUUGAGGGCAUCCGUGGCAUUAGAAAGAGAAUUACCAGUAUUAAAUUGACAAAGGUGGAGACCAGAUGAUAUUUCAUUUUGUGGUAUUCAGUUUUCUACAAGCAGGAUUCCUCUUUCUUACAGCCUUCUUUUAAGGGAAUGAUGCUAAGGAUUUUUUCCAGAAGUUGGUUUGUUCAGAUGAAAACAUUGGCUUCGAUGCUGCUACACAAAAGCAAAGGCAUGAUUUGUGCACAAACCUGAGGGUGAAAGCUGACAAGGCUGAAUUUGAAGCUUAUAAACUCUUCUAUUGGAACAAAAUUGCAGAACAUGUGAUUUGUAGAUCAAUUUUUGGUAGCUGAUGAUAGAUAUACCAAAAUCAGCACCUGAUUUUUUGUAUAAGAGAGCUACAGAUAUUGAACACUUCACUACUAGAAUUGGGAAACGAUAAUGCAAUCUGUCUCUCUGGAGUAUUCAUGUUUCUGCUAUUUACGUAUUGGGAAGUUUUGACUUA